rnacentral:tRNA from 1 species
GGUCCCGUAGCUCAGCAGGAUAGAGCAUCAGAUUCCUAAUCUGAGGGUCGCGUGUUCAAAUCACGCCGGGAUCA